GCAGCUUCGAAUGACAAAGAUCUGGAUCCCCACAGGGAGCAUUCAGCGCCAGCGCAUUCAAGGGGCAUAUUCUGGGAUCCAAGGCAAACCAAAUCAUAGGGAGUCCUCUUCAUCACUGUGGACCUUAAACUUGUUUGGAACAGCGUGCACAGGAGGCUUCACCCAUCCAUGACAGCAACUGGGAAAAUAUUAAACACAGACCAAGCUGGACAUAGUGUGACCAUUUCUCUUU